CGGCUCUGGAGGACAAAACAAUACACUUUAGCUUAUUAUCAAAGGAACGGCGAGAAUUUCAGGAAACACGGACCAUGCCCACUGAGCUGAAAUCGAUUCAAAGGGUAGAGGUGUCCCUGGCUGCAAUCUGCAGGGAAACUUACUCUCUUACAACUUCUAUUUGCUUUCUUUAGUGUGGAAGUUUAGGCGUUUGGUAAGCUUCCCUUCUCAGAGCUUUGGAAGAGAUAUCUUCACAGACACAGAGCUAGAGGGGUGAGGACACUGUCUAAGGAGGUAGGUUUAUCUAAAGCCUAACGCAGGGCUAGGUCAUCUUGCCUAUGUAAUGAGCUUCGGGCCAGCCUGGGCUACAUGAGAACCUGUCUCAGGAAAACAAAGCCAAGUAAAGCCAAACAGUAUAACAUGUUCCAACGUAGCGGUGUACUGCAUCCGGGCAACUGGCAGGAAACCCUUGGUUCCAUUCAUUAUGUUUGGUUUUCCUGUCUGGCUGGCCACAGGACGGGACAUGUGUACCUGGACUCUCAGCUUUAUCUCUCCUUGAGGAGAAGCCAUCUAAGCGUUUGUUUAUAGCAACUAGCUAGCAGGUUUUCAUGUGGGCAAAGAAUGUACUGGUAUGGAGAACUGAGCCAAAAUGACCAUGGUUCUAUUAAAAAAAAACACACACACGAGCAGAGCGGACAUUCCACUUUGACACACAUCUGUCUGUGUAAGAUGCUGCAAACUGAAGACCAGGCCCUCCUGCGUCAGGCUCAACAACUUAAAGAAGUUGAUCUGGGAAUCUUCCCCGCGCUCCUUCCUUAAGUGCAAACACUGACAGGUAUGUUAAACGAUUCUUGUUCCGUUCUUUGCUCAGUUCCAAGAUUUAUAGGAGCUCUAAUUUGAAGCCUGGCAGAAAUGUCCCCGUACAGACAGCAGGGGUUUCCCCCACAAAAUUUCAUUAUAAUUGUUUCCAGGCCCCAGGGCAAAUUCUUAUAAGGAAGCAGAUAUUUAAAAAUAACGCUCGCAUUCUCUUUUCCUUUUAAAACUUCGGAAAGUGGAUUCUCCCGCCUCGGUUUGUUUUUGAGAAGGCAGAUGUGCUGGCUUGUUUCCUUCUGAGCAGCUUUCGCACAUGGAUUUGGUCGAUGUUAUUAGAGACCAUGUUUUCACAAACAGUCGGAAACAAAUCCAGUCUCUCCUCAGCCACACCAUUUUCCCCAGUGCGGUAGAGCGCUUCUGUUAGACGGUAGAGCAUGUGAAUUGAAAUACCAAGGACAUCGUCUUGGGAAGGAGCUGUGCGUGUGGAUGGGUCUAAUUCUCAUGGGAAGUGGUGGGCUAGGGGUUGAUGGCGAUUGAACUUUUCCAUCCUGCUUCAAGGACUAGUGACCUUUUUAAACAGCCUAUCGCAGGACAGCAAUCUUAAAGGUAAAAAAAAAGAGAGACUGGAGACAUGUAUAAAAUCUUUUGAAGAGGUGACCUGGCUACGUUGGAGACAAGGAGACCGUGUAUGGAUUGCCAAGGGAUGCUUCUCUGAGGAAUACUGAGUCCAAUUCAGUUCACAAUGAGAAUGCAGCUUGGCAUAGAAAGAAAAGCUCUUUACCUCUUCAGACUGUGACUCCUUCAGCGGCUUCCAGGGACAACUUGCCUGAGUUACCUGAGAAACUUGGACACGUGCGCAUUCCUGGGAUGCAGGCCAGAUCUACGGAGCCUGUUCCCGUGCAGUUGCGCGCAGAACCGGUUUCACUACACCCGCUUGCAGAUGCUGUGUAAGUGCGGACGACUGGGAAGGCUCCCUUUCGGGAACUCUUUAACCUACAUAUUAAUUUAGAAGCCCCGCCCUGCAAUAGUAAACCAGCAGGGGUAGCUCCCUGAAUGUGUGGAGUGAAGAAAGGGCGAUCGCUUUCCUGUUGUGCUCCUGCACUCUGUGAAUUAUUUCGUAUGGGGCCAAGGCACUCAACCAAGAUAGCGCUACAUCGACAAAUAAGUUCAUUUUUCUCUGUUACAAGACUAUGAGGGAUGUUACUUGGAUGCAAACUGUGCACUGUUUCCUUCUUCCCUCAUCAGAGGGUCAUAAUCAGCCAGCCACAACUAGGAAUAUACAAAGGAAAUUGACUAUUUCAUGUAUGUCAUGUAUUCAAUAAUAUUUAUAUCACGGGAAGAUAAAUAGGUACUUUAAAGCUAGCUACGGGAGAUAGUGAGGGACAAAUCUCAGUAAAGCCAUAAACUCUUUUAACAGGGGGCAGAGAUUCUGGAUUUGCCAACCAUUAAUUCAUUUUCUCUUUGUUUUUAACCAGAAUGUUGUUCAGUGUGAGCGCCAUGGAGUGUUUAUCUUCGGGGACAAACAUUGUCCUUGAAAGUCCAGAAUCUAUAUGUUCUCAUCUGUAGGUAUUUGCCGAAAGUAAAAUCACUUCUGUUUUAACAAAGAAGGAAGAAAAAAUCAAGCAGCUAAUGUUCACAUGAAUUCAUUCGUUUCAUCAUUCAGCAAAUAGUUAUUGACUUACUAUGUGCAUAGCUAAAUAAGAUAAGAUCUCUUGGAAAAGCUCGUAGCUUAAAAUCCUGAGAGCAGGGGAUAAAAGACCCGCCAAGGGGCUGGAGUGCGGGAAUCCAGACUGGUCAGGAACUCUACUCCUGCUUUAGAGAACCCUUGCUUGAGUCUCGGUGAAGGCAACAUAAUUAGACAGCUAAAUGGGGUCCUUGAAGGUAGUGUUUAAGGGUGAGCAGUGGGCAGGCAGUCUCCGUGGACAUUCUGGGACUAAGGCAGAAAGGAUCCCUUCUGAUAUUUAUCACAGACGGUCCCCCACUCAGUUCCUGAGAUUCUGAUUUGGGACACACACCCUGGAAGUAUUCGUGAGCUCGGUCAUUAGCAUCUCCAUCUAAUUCCCUCUCUGUUGAACCAAGCUGUCAUAGGCUUACUAAAGAAGCACUAAGUGUUUACAGACCACCGUUAUGAUCUGGUUCGUUCUGCUUCUUCUUAGUGUAUCUUUUGUCCGGGGGCGGGGUGUUGGUCAUCCCUUCCUCACCAUUGUUAAGCAGGGUGUGUCGACAUCCGGUUUCUUUAUGCAAUUAUGUUUUUAGGAUCUGCGAUAGUUUUGUCUACUAAAAUGAUUACCCUCGAACUACCGAGGCUGCUGCUCCAGAUAUUUUAACAAAGAGACUAUACAAAGGGCGCUGGUGACUCUCAAUUAAGAAUGUGAUGAGUUGAAGGUAGCUGAAGUGAAGCGAGUUGAAGUCAGCGAGUCAUUCCAGAUUCUUUCUGAGAUGCCCCUAAUUCCUUUGUAACAUCCUUCUAAUUGCAGCAUAUAAACAGAGACAAAACGUGAGUUAGACCCUGUACACGGCAGAUUAAUCUUGUCCUUUUCUGGUUAAAACCGUUUAAAUUCUCGCUUCUAGUACAGUUGAACAAAACAGAGUGCUCUAGUCUUCGGUGCUUGGCUGACUAGCUUUUGGCCUUCCUCCUUCACGAAAUGUUUGCUUUUAGUUGGAGAUGUGUAGUCUAGAAGAAAUCCCAGGGUUGCAGGUUGCAGGUGAAUAGCUACAUGGGAAGUGAAGAUGAUCGAACUUCCUUCUAGACCCUGUGAGUCAAAUAGGAAGAACGCCGGUUGGAUUUUUUUUUCCUUUUCUUUUGAAACAAUGGGGAGCACGUGUCAUGUAAUUUUCAAGUCUUGUAUACAAAUGACGGCACUUCUCUGCUUGAGGUCUCGUCUUAAAGACAGGGCCUGUUUCCUAGAGCCUUUUCAUCACAAAGUGAAUCUGGAGCCUGCGAUUAGACUCCAGAGCUAUUUAACAGUGCCAGAGACAUGAGGGAACUUCCACAGCAUUUCCUUCAAGCAAGAUAAUAACUCUCCAAGGAGCAGCCUCCGCGUUGGGUCAACCCGACUCAGUGGGAAGAGCGCCACCUAUUGACCGUGGCCGCAGAGCGACGGCACCUGGCCACCCUUCCUGCUCGCCCCCACCCCCAGCUCCUUUCCCCAGAGAGCUGAGGAUAAUAAUAACCUUCUGAGGUGGUCUGAGGUUCACCUAAGUGUUUUCAUAUCACGCCUUAUAAUUUGAGGCAAACACAUGAAUUUAAAUCAGUUUUUCAAACAACCAGGCCUCUCUUCUCGUUUACUAGAAUGGGGGGAAAAAUCAGUUUUAUUACCUUAAGGAUGCCAAACAGUGCCAUUUUAUUACUGUGGGAAGCUGGAAGUCAUUUCCGAACUCUUUUGGCAAGGGCGCUAGGUAGAGCGUCCAAUUCAGCCCUUUAAGUGUCUUCUGAGAACCACCACACAGACUGUGAUUUACUGUCUGCGGGAGUUAAAGGGACCCUUUCUACCCUGAGACUGGAGAGAGAAAGGUGAAGCUUGUUUACCAAGCAUCCCAAUGAGACUUGCGAGACCAGGAGAGGACUCCGGAGCAGGAGGCAAAGACGUUUUGAGGACACACACUUUUUUUCAACAUAUAAUCCUUAUUAGGGGACAAAAACAUAUAUGUUGAAAGUUCUCCGAAGUUGUAGGAAUCUGCGUGUAUAUUGAUACAUGGGUCUUCGGCCAGAGUCACAUGCGUCUUAGAGUUUGUGAGGACGCGGUGUUUUCCCUCUCUCUCCCUCUCUCCCAAACAGGGUUUCAUACACGUCCAUGACAAUACAAGGUUGUAGCUAAAGAUACACAAAGAGAAGCAGGCACUGAGAGCCAGAGGAUUGGGGAGGAGGAUUAGGAGUUCAAAGUUAGUCUCUGCUACUGCGAGUCCAAGGUCAGCCUGGGCUUCUUGUGAUCUUGUCUCUAGACACACCUGAACAUACACAUUUAUACAUAUACACCUGUGUACAUAUAUACAUGUAUAUAUAUAUAUAUGCACAUAUAACCUUCAAACAACCGAAACCUAAAAAUAGCAUGCAUACAUAAUUAUAUAAGUAUGUUGUUUAUGUAUAAUAUAUACAUGCAUACUGUAUAUACAUAUAUACAGAUACAUAUUUUACAUAUAUAUAUAAAAUACACACAUUGUGAAGGUACCAAAGUUGCACUAACAUAUUCAAUGGGCUCAACGCAACUGGACAAGAGUCAGAAAGAUUUUUGCAUGUUACUCGAUUUGUAAGCAGAAGAUGGAAAGGCUCCAGUCAGCCUUGUUGCUGCUCACUAGUAACAAGCAGGGAUUUUAAUUUCUGUGUUCUGGGUUGACUCCGAUCCAGAGGGGCUGAUUUCAUGUAAUCUCAAAGACGUUAUCAUUGGUGUUAAUUAUAACACGUUCACACACAUAUCUUUCUGACCUUUAUGUUAUUUUGAGUGUGUGUGUGUGUUAGUGUGUGUGUGUUUGAGUGUGCGUGUAUGUUAUGUGUGUUUGAGUGUGUGUGUUAGAGUGCGUGUGUAUGUGUGUGUGUGUUUGAGUGUGUGUGUGUGUGUGUGUGUGUGUGUGUGUGUUAGGGGUGCAGGGGUUGGCUGGCUUGCCACUUCAUGUUGCCCGUAGUCAUAGCAUUAGGUCCCAGGAGUAAAGACACAGAGACAAACAAGAUAUUUAACUUGAGGACAUAUUAUGCUGCGUGUAACUAGCCUAGUGUUUGGCAUACAGUGGGCUCUGUUUAAAUAUCUAGAAAAUAAUAUCCAAUAAUGUUAAGUUAUGCAAUCACGAAAAUAAUUGUUCGGUCACUUAAAAGAUGAGAAGCUGUUUGCCAAUGUAAAAGAGUUUUGAUAAAAUUCAUUUUUAUUGACAAAACUCAGGACCACUGAUUUCAAGGAGACAGGCCAGUCUUCCCUCUGUGUUUUUCUGCUUUGAUGAUCACUGUCAAAAGGAGCUCUCCAAGAAGACUGUUGUUUCUUCCCUGUAGUAAACAGCUCAAAAUCUUUCAAGGGCAAUGCUUCUCCGAUAACAGCCUGCUUUUUUCUCUUUUUGUUUAUCUUGAUUAAGUGAGUAACCCGUCAAUUAAUUGUUGCAGCAUUGUGGAACAAACUUCUGGCCUUGGGCAUGCUAAGCGAGAGAGUGCCUACUGCUGGGUUACAUCCCUAGCCCUUAGCAGAAUGCUGUGUUCAUAAACCAUAAAACAAAACUAUCUGUAAAGGCAGCCUGAAGUUCGCACAUAUGUUUCUGUAGGUGAUAUCAUUUUCUUGCAAAGAUGCAGUUAUUAAUGAGAAAAUCAUUCUAUUUCAUCUAUUUUUGUUCUGCCAGGAGAGCUCUGUCACGGGGAGUAGACAUAAAUCACUGGAAAUUGUGUGCACUCUGCUUUUCAGCACUCAGAUGAUGUAUCUAUCCGAAAGUCGAACCUACACCCAGCAGGUUUAGGAUGUCGGAGUGCGUUCACUGUGGAAUCGGGUAAAGGUGACAGAGGUCAGGUUUUGCAGCAGCAUCUUUCAGAGCAGUGGCCAAGAGACAAGAAGGACCCCAUUUAGAGACAUCAAUGCAGGACAGACUCUUCAUGGUGUGGCGACUAGGGAACCCAAGGCCCCCUUUCCUGAUGGGGAGUAAGUGAUGCUGAAGGGAAGGAAGAAGAACUUCCCAAGAGCAAACAUAACCACUACCUUUUGAAUCAGUGCCAAUGGCUAUUCAAAAAAAAUAUGUUUUAGGAUGGGUCAAGAGUGUUUCUCUUUAUGAAAAAAAACAGGCGGUGUGCACCAUUUCCGGUAUUUGGUACCAUUUACUUUGUUUAUACCUGCCUCGCUCUAUCCAACUCUAACUCAACCAAAUAUGUGUGCCAUUUUAUUCCUUCUAUCUCUUCAUAAGUCUAAGACCCAAGGGGGUCAUGUGCUUUAUGCCUCAUUCACACACUAUUAGCUAAUGGCAGGAAGACACUGAGGUGGGAGUCUCCUCUCUCCCGUUGCUUGAAAGGGUCCCAUGGGACUGAGAAAUCAAAGCGGGUCGGCACAGUACAGGGGGACAGGAGCAAAUAACAGUUCAUUGAGGAUCGAGAGGCUUGUAAGUCACGUCUCUGGUUCUGGGAAGCCUGUCCCAAGAGCUCAAGUGUCAGAGGUAAGUGUUAAGAACUAGGGGAUGGCGAUGAGGACAGGUCGUUCAAGGCACAAGGUCUCGUGCAUGUAAAACGUCAUCCUUAGAGUUUAUUUCCAGUCACAAAGUCAAAAUGACAGUGUGAAGGAAGCGUCUCCUUGUCACACAAUGUGAAGUAAUGACAAUGUAGUAAGUUGACCCUUGCUCAUUCUGGUUGGUGACUUGGGAGAAGUCACUUAUCUGCUUCAGUUUCCUGUCUUGCAGAGUUAAGAAUGGCUGCCUAUCUCAGGGUGAAGACUAAAUGAAUUUAAACACGAGGAGCUGAAACGUAUGUGGAUUAAAAGAACAUCAUAACAGCACACUUGAUAUUUACUCUCAGAGUGAGAGAAGCAGGAAGUUGGUAAAGCCCAGUUGUGGUGCAUUGGUGAGGGUGUUUCUAGAGAGAAUUACUACUUGAGGUCAGAGAGUCACACCCUAAGAGUGGACUGCAGGACCCCAGGCUGGAGACCUGGGUGAGUCAAUGAAGAAGAGAAUGUGGGCCCUAGCCUGAUGGCCUGAAAGCUCAGAGACAGCCACAUUAGUUUUAUCUCCCUUCCCUUGUUUCCUUCGGGUAUUCCUCUCAGCCAAGUAAAGUCUCACAACUCUAAAUAGUAGUUGACUUUCCCUCAGAUUACAGUUGUACUAUUGAUGAGGAUUAUUGAUAACAACAUGAUCGUCCUUCGAGGACAUGUCACAAAGCUAUCAAAGUGGGGUUCACUGCACCUGGAAACCAUAGUCUUCAUCCUCCCUUAAACCUAAAACCUAUACAAGAUGGGAAAAAAUACUGGGAAUAAUGCAGGUGCCCCUCGUUCAAACUUUCUUUGCUACCCUCAGAUUGGGGCCUUCUAACAAGAUGCUUGCCGUGCACUGGCAUACAAACAGCACUGGUAUGUUUCUCACGGGUUGUUCUGAACAUCAAAUAUGGUGGUGUGCACAUGACUGGAAUCACCCGAAGUUCUGUUCCCUCACCCAAGAAAACCUGUCAGAGGUGAAGAGAAUGAAUAGAGGCUAAUCUAAGCAUUCUGAGGGAAAUAUCUUUCCCAAAAUACAGUCCAAGCUUGAGAGAUCACAUAUAAAUAGUCCCAUCUCCACGGGCCAGCUCUGGAAAACACUCUUGAACGUUACUGCCGACUUUGAUCGCCUCCCCUGGCGUCUCUGCCAGGCCUUGCUCUCGGCUGUGGCUAUUCUUAGCACACCCUUGGAUGAUACUGUAGCUUAGAUGUGGAUGGCUCCUCCAAUCACGCUGGAGGCAGUUAUAAUGGCACCUAAAACAGUCAUCUGGAGGAUGGACUAAGCGUGAUCACCUCCCGAAGUCUCUCUCUAAUGUGCAUAUAUAAUAGUAUAUAUUAUAUACAAUAUCACACAUGUCACUGUAAAAUUUUAUAUAUACAUAUAAAAUAAUCAUAUAUAUGUAAUAAUUAUAUAAUAAUUACAUAUAUAUGUAUAUAUGUAAAGCUUUCUUUUAUCCCACACUAGGGACAGAACUGUGGGGGCUGUUCUCUCCCUCUAGUCUCCUUCCCCUCUCUAAAACUUUUCUCCCACUCAUCCUUCCUUCUCGUCCAACGGCAGGCCUCAUUCUGUCUUGUACCUGCCUUCACAUGCAUAAUGACAUCAUCCUACACACACACACACACACACCCUCAUCUAUAAUCCUUAGAGAAACCCAAGAGAAGAUAGCAUAAGAGUAAUUGAGUAAGAAGCAUUGAACACGCUAACCUCUUUGCUGGGUAUAGAUCACAUGGACUAUUAAAGAUUGCUAAUCUUGUAUAAGAUAGAAAUUCAAACUAAAAAUAAAAAACCCCAAAUUAUAUAGGAAAACAGAUAUUGUUCCAGAUCUUUUUCUGGAAUUAUUUUUUUUAAUUGCAAAUAUUGUUUGAAGUCUCCGAAGCCAGUUGAUUUGAACAGUAUGUGCAGACCAGCUUUAAAUAAAUUGCUCAGAGCUCCAUGCCGUUAAAAUCUUUGGUCUCUCCAACAUCUUUGCUGUGUCUCUCUGAUAUACCAAUUACUUAAUACUGUUACAUCUAAGGCCAGGGUUCGUUAGUCUGCCUGAAGGCGCACAGAGGUUCCAAGCUUCUAUUUUUUAAAUUAUUUUUCCUUGCCUGCAACCUGAUUUCUUCUGGGUCUGACCUAAUUCCUUUGAUGCCCAGGGCUCGUAGGCCAGGACUAAUCUGGAGGAAAGGUGAGACAACUGAGAGAAAGGCUGAGGAGAGAGCGGCACCGGGAGCUGUGCUAUUCAAAGUCCAAACCAGCACGGUCAAAGAGAAUCGCGCAGGUUCUACCCUAGUUUGUAGAGAAGAACUCGACGCACUGUUUCUAACAUAGGCUUUUCCUCUAUCUUGGUUCUUUUAGGUAGUCAGCACUUUCCUGCUGGGGCAAAGUGUCGUGGGGGGAAUGCAGGAUUGGGGCACGAUAGCAAACUGCGAAUUGGUAGCAUGGCACCAUGAAACUCAAAGUAAGAAAAACGUCUGCUUAGAAAGAGCACUGUGGAAGCCAUCAUCAUGGAAAAGGUUUUCACAGAAGGGCAUAGAAAGGUCACGUGAUGCUCUCAGCUUUGUUCUUUGACUUCAGAACGUGCUGUGAUCCAGACUUUCCUGGACCUGUCCAUUUAUUUAUUGUACCUCUGGGUCUGUUCUCAGGAGCGGUUUCCCUUCGGGAAGCAGAUUCUUCUUACUGCUCAAAUAUGCUCCAGACAUCUUGUAGUCAUUAGGCGCCUAAGGCAGGGCCAAGGGGCAGAUUUUCCUAGCGUCUUCGCUCAUCUUGAUUUUGGAUUACUUUGAGUCUUGAAAAGCGGGAAAGUGACAUUUACCCUCCUUUGCUUACAAAUGGCGUAUCUCUUUGUUUGAAACGUGAAGGAAUCAUAAUUUUGCAUGGAUCUACAGAAAAGGGGUGGCUGCGGUGUCCACUUGCGAUCUGAUGAAUGAGGGCUUACAAAGCCAUCAUGACACCUGCCACGAUCAGAAGAGAGAUUCCACCUAAAGCAGGGAGAUUAGCAGUGGUGGGAACCAUUCUCAGCACAGUACCCUGCCUCACUAUGGGGAGAUUUUAUGUAUACACACCACCAAUGUCCAUAUUCAUAGAGUGCUUGGCUUCCCAACUUGAUAUUCACGUGGAAUCCAAGUUCAUGCUUGCUAGCCAUAUGAACAGUCUGUGUACUGUAUGUAAGCCAACAGGAGCCACCGAAUUUUGGAGCUCCACUCAGCCUGCUUUAGGUGCCUGACUGAUGCAGCUUCGUGUUUUGCUGAUUCUAAAACCUCAUCUUAGGCAUUUUAAAGACCAAUUUAUUCACAGGCUAUUUAUAAUGCUACUCGGUACAAAAUUUACUCUUUGUGUGUGUGUUUUUUUUUUCUGCAGUGAAUGGAAAAAAUAAAAAGAAAGAAAGAAGCAAAACGGAGGAACUCGACUGGCCCUGAGUUUUGGCACCAGAUGAAUGAAAUAAAGAAGUAAAAGAGAAAGAAUAGACUGCCCCUAGGUACCAUGAUUGUAGAUCAAAAGGAGACCAUAGCCAGAGGCUGGGGCAUCUUGGAGAGGCCGGAGUGGACUUGACCCUGAACCAGGCCAUGCAAAGAAAGGACAUGUUCAGGGAGAGGCAGAUCUGGAUGCCAGGAGGGUAAAGGGUAGAAAAGAAAAGACCAGGUAACCGAAAUGGUUGGAUUAUAUAGGGGAGGGGAGCUGGAGGGAGGGCUGCCUAGCCUCUGGGCUAUAGACGUUUAGGUGUAGCCAGCACCAGCGGGGCAGGCCCUGGAACAGGUAGGGACUGAGGGUUUCAGAGAGAACCUGGUGGCCAGCUCCUGCUUUGAUAUGCUAAUGGCCACCUUUUUCCUAGGUUAGAAACCCAGGUUUGCAUUGUGUACAUUUUCUUUUAUACUUUUCUAUUUGAGUAGUGUAUGCAGCAGUGAAAAGGGCCAAGUCCAGAAAAUAUUCCUAGAGGGAAGGAAGAACAGGAGUCAGGGAAGGGAUGAGAGAGGAAGAGGAGAGAAGAGAGGGGAGAUGUAAAACCAGUAACUCACAAUUUAUGAAUGUAGCAGGUUUCAUUAGUUGCAGAUAGAAUACUGGCAUAAGUUGGAAGGCAUAGGCAGGGUUGGCUGGGUAUUGUUGCUCUAUUUUAUUUAGCCUGAGCCCACAGAAUCAACAUUUAUACACUGAUGGAAAAUGUUGGCAGUUUGAUCUGUUUCCGAAAGAACUGGAAAGGUCACUUUAAAACAGCAACGCUCUAUGCCAUCUCCUAUUGAUACAAAGAACUAGAAGGUCGAUUAUUAGAGUGAGCUGGUGCGACUUUAUGUCGCUGGCCCCUCCCAUACAGACUACUGAGCACCCAAGAUCAGAAAAUCCAUCUUCAGUUUAGACCCAGGACCAUACCUUAGUUUAUCUGGCAGAGAUACCAGAAACCCCCCAUGUUUAGCCGGUUUACACUGCUUAGUUUUGAGAUCCAUUGUAGCACAUGUGUUGGGCAGGUAAAAGACAAAUUUGCAUCUGUAAACGUGUACACCCUUGGGGACAGCUGUAUUUAUGCACAGGUGAACCAGGAUCUUUGAGCAGUAAAUAUAUGCAGUUGACAUUUUUAUGCCUCUCAUUUUUUUAAAUAAAAUUAUUUUAAGCACAGUU